AUCUGUUAUCAAUUAAAGAAUUUCGGAAACGGAUAGGCUCGCGUGACAUUAGCUAGAUGGCGGGGUAACGGCCCACCAUGGCGACGAUGUCUAGGGGUUCUGAGAGGAAGGUCCCCCACACUGGAACUGAGACACGGUCCAGACUCCUACGGGAGGCAGCAGUGAGGAAUAUUGGUCAAUGGUCUGACGACUGAACCAGCCAUGCCGCGUGAAGGUGACGGCCCUAUGGGUCUUAAACUUCUUUUGCAAGGGAGCAAUAAGGCGUACGUGUACGUCGAUGAGAGUACCUUGCGAAUAAGCAUCGGCUAACUCCGUGCCAGCAGCCGCGGUAAUACGGGGGAUGCAAGCGUUAUCCGGAUUUAUUGGGUUUAAAGGGUGCGUAGGCGGUCUGGUAAGUCAGCGGUGAAAUUUAGGGGCUCAACCUCUACCGUGCCGUUGAUACUGUCAGGCUAGAAUGCGGAUGCCGUGGGAGGAAUGUGUGGUGUAGCGGUGAAAUGCAUAGAUAUCACACAGAACACCGAUUGCGAAGGCAUCUCACGAAUCCGCGAUUGACGCUGAUGCACGAAAGCGUGGGGAUCAAACAGGAUUAGAUACCCUGGUAGUCCACGCUGUAAACGAUGAUGACUAACCGUCGGCGAUACACAGUCGGUGGCCAAGCGAAAGCGAUAAGUCAUCCACCUGGGGAGUACGACCGCAAGGUUGAAACUCAAAGGAAUUGACGGGGGCCCGCACAAGCGGAGGAACAUGUGGUUUAAUUCGAUGAUACGCGAGGAACCUUACCCGGGCUCGAACGGCAGAUGAAUUGAGUAGAGAUAUUCAAGUCUUCGGACAUCUGUCGAGGUGCUGCAUGGUUGUCGUCAGCUCGUGCUGUGAAGUGUCGGCUUAAGUGCCAUAACGAGCGCAACCCUUGCCGUUAGUUGCCAUCAGGUCAAGCUGGGGACUCUAGCGGGACUGCCACCGCAAGGUGUGAGGAAGGGGGGGAUGACGUCAAAUCAGCACGGCCCUUACGUCCGGGGCGACACACGUGUUACAAUGGUGGGUACAGAGGGAAGCUACCUGGCGACAGGAUGCAGAUCUCGAAAACCCAUCCCAGUUCGGAUUGGAUUCUGCAACCCGACUCCAUGAAGUUGGAUUCGCUAGU
rnacentral:rRNA from 1 species